rnacentral:rRNA from 1 species
GAUGAACGCUGGCGGCGUGCCUAAUACAUGCAAGUCGAGCGAACGGACGAGAAGCUUGCUUCUCUGAUGUUAGCGGCGGACGGGUGAGUAACACGUGGAUAACCUACCUAUAAGACUGGGAUAACUUCGGGAAACCGGAGCUAAUACCGGAUAAUAUUUUGAACCGCAUGGUUCAAAAGUGAAAGACGGUCUUGCUGUCACUUAUAGAUGGAUCCGCGCUGCAUUAGCUAGUUGGUAAGGUAACGGCUUACCAAGGCAACGAUGCAUAGCCGACCGGAUAGGGUGAUCGGCCACACGGGAACGGAGACACGGUCCAGACUCCUACGGGAGGAAGCAGUAGGGAAUCUUCCGCAAUGGGCGAAAGCCUGACGGAGCAACGCCGCGUGAGUGAUGAAGGUCUUCGGAUCGUAAAACUCUUUUAUUAGGGAAGAACAUAUGUGUAAGUAACUGUGCACAUCUUGACGGUACCUAAUCAGAAAGCCACGGCUAACUACGUG